GCCAGACUCCUACGGGAGGCAGCAGUGGGGAAUAUUGCACAAUGGGGGAAACCCUGAUGCAGCAACGCCGCGUGAAGGAAGACGGUUUUCGGAUUGUAAACUUCUGUUCUUAGUGAAGAAGAAUGACGGUAGCUAAGGAGCAAGCCACGGCUAACUACGUGCCAGCAGCCGCGGUAAUACGUAGGUGGCAAGCGUUAUCCGGAUUUAUUGGGUGUAAAGGGCGUGUAGGCGGGAGCGCAAGUCAGAUGUGAAAACUCAGGGCUCAACCCUGAGCCUGCAUUUGAAACUGUGUUUCUUGAGUGCUGGAGAGGCAAUCGGAAUUCCGUGUGUAGCGGUGAAAUGCGUAGAUAUUAGGAGGAACACCAGUGGCGAAGGCGGCUUUCUGGACUGUAACUGACGUUGAGGCACGAAAGUGUGGGGAGCAAGCAGGAUUAGAUACCCUCGUACC
rnacentral:rRNA from 1 species